AGUAACGCGUGGGAAACCUGCCGUAAAGUGGGGGAUAACAGUUCUAACGGACUGCUAAUACCGCAUAACGCCGCAGAUCGCAUGGUCUGCGGUUAAAGGAGGCCUCUGUAUAUGCUUCCGCUUAACGAUGGUCCCGCGUCCUAUUAGCUUGUUGGUGGGGUAACGGCCUACCAAGGCGAUGAUGGGUAGCCGGCUUGAGAGAGUGGUCGGCCACACUGGGACUGAGAUACGGCCCAG
rnacentral:rRNA from 1 species